rnacentral:rRNA from 1 species
AGUGAACGCUGGCGGCAUGCCUAACACAUGCAAGUCGAACGGCAGCACAGUAAUAGCUUGCUCGUACGGGUGGCGAGGGGCGGACGGGUGAGGAAUACAUCGGGAUCUACUUUUUCGUGGGGGAUAACGUAGGGAGGCUUACGCUAAUACAUCAUACGACCUACGGGUGAAUGCAGGGGGUCUUCGGACCUUGCGCGCUUGUAUUAGCGGAUGACGUCUCAGCUAGUGGGCGGGGUAAAGGCGCACCAAGGCGACGAUCCGGAGCUGGUCUGAGAGGAUGAUGAGCCACACUGGAACUGAGACACGGUCCAGACUCCUACGGGAGGCAGCAGUAGGGAAUAUGGGACAAUGGGAGCAAGCCUGAUCCAGCCAUACCGCGUGGGUGAAGAAGGCCUUCGGGUUGUAAAGCCAUUUUGUUGGGAAAGAAAAGCAGCAGGUUUGUACCGCGCUGUUGUGACGGUACCGAAAGAAUAAGCACCGGCUAACUACGUG